UACGUAGGGCGCAAGCGUUGUCCGGAAUUAUUGGGCGUAAAGAGCUCGUAGGCGGUUUGUCGCGUCUGCUGUGAAAACCUGAGGCUCAACCUCGGGCUUGCAGUGGGUACGGGCAGACUAGAGUGCGGUAGGGGUGACUGGAAUUCCUGGUGUAGCGGUGGAAUGCGCAGAUAUCAGGAGGAACACCGAUGGCGAAGGCAGG
rnacentral:rRNA from 1 species